GACGAACGCUGGCGGCGUGCUUAACACAUGCAAGUCGAACGGAAAGGCCCUGCUUUUGUGGGGUGCUCGAGUGGCGAACGGGUGAGUAACACGUGAGUAACCUGCCCUUGACUUUGGGAUAACUUCAGGAAACUGGGGCUAAUACCGGAUAGGAGCUCCUGCUGCAUGGUGGGGGUUGGAAAGUUUCGGCGGUUGGGGAUGGACUCGCGGCUUAUCAGCUUGUUGGUGGGGUAGUGGCUUACCAAGGCUUUGACGGGUAGCCGGCCUGAGAGGGUGACCGGCCACAAUGGGACUGAGAGACGGCCCAGAAUGCUACGGGAGGCAGCAGUGGAGAAUAUUACAGAAUAGGCGGAAGCCUGAGACAGAAACGCCGCGUGCGGGAUAACGGACUUCGGGUUGUAAACCGAUUUCGCCUGUGACGAAGCGUGAGUGACGGUAAUGGGUAAAGAAGCACCGGCUAACUACGUG
rnacentral:rRNA from 1 species